AUUGAACGCUGGCGGCAGGCUUAACACAUGCAAGUCGAACGCGGGGCGGACGGGAGAGUAAUGCUUGGGAAUCUAGCUUAUGGAGGGGGAUAACUACGGGAACCGGUAGCUAAUACCGCGUACCAUAGGAUGAGCCCAAGUGGGAUGAGGUAGUUGGUGAGGUAAAGGCUCACCAAGCCGACGAUCUAUAGCUGGUCUGAGAGGAUGACCAGCCACACUGGGACUGAGACACGGCCCAGACUCCUACGGGAGGCAGCAGUGGGGAAUAUUGCGCAAUGGGGGCAACCUGACGCAGCAAGGCCGCGUGAAUGAAGAAGGCCUUCGGGUUGUAAAGUUCUUUCGGUAGCGAGGCGUUAACUACAGAGGAAGCAACGGCUAACUCCGUGCCAGCAGCCGCGGUAAUUC
rnacentral:rRNA from 1 species